GUCCCAGCGCCCACAACAGGAUUGCUGAUCUCGAGUGUCUUCAUACGGAGGCUUUCUCUGCAAAGAAAAAUGCAGCGGCACCGACAGAAAAGAAGUAAUACUGCUCUCUUGGAGGAAUCCAGGCCAGAACUAACAAAAGAGGUGGCAUUGGCAGAGUUGCAGUUAUUGGCUUCGAACAGCUUAAAAGGGGCCAUAGUCAACUACGAAAG